rnacentral:lncRNA from 1 species
AAGAAGUCACACUAACUAUGGCCACCAGAUCAACCAUAUCGAUAUACGCCGUACAGUUUCCUUGGUCUAUUGCCAUUUACCUAAGGUACACUAGAUCCGGGUUAGGGUCUUUCACACAUAAGAGCACGCAACAGAUAAGUAUAAAGCAAACAAGGCAAACAUUUUAAAGUGAUCUAAUUCCUAAGGGUACCCUCUUUUAUUAAAUCCCCAGUGAAGUCGCCAGUUCUGUAACACGGUGGGAGAACUGACUUUAGUUAAAUG